AGGAGGAGGUGGUGAAGGAGGAGGAGGAGGAGGACCGCGCUGCCGGCGGAUUGGGAAGUUUGACAAAUCGCUCCAGAGGCCGGAGGAGGAGGGGGCGGGGAGGAGCGGCGGCCCUGCCCCCCCCCGCCCCGUCCCCAGAGGAGGGCUCACCUGUCGGCCAGGAAAAAUGAGACUUGAAAAUGGGCCAGAGUCGUCCUCCAAUGGGGAAAUUUGUCAUGGAGACACACCCAUCUCAAAUGUCCAGAAAUGCCACCUCUCUGGAGGAUGGUCCUAUCUGGGGCACGUCAGGAGUCUAGAAGGUAGACAGCGAAGGUGAGAAAGUAGAGAGCUGGCUCUCCAGCCCAGGAUGCAUGAAGGCGUGAGGGAAGGUGGCUAGGAGAAGCACCUAUCAGCAGCACAGAAGGGCCAAGUGAGCAGCUGCACGUGUGCACACAACAGUAGCGAGUGGAAUUUGCACCAUCCAGGUCAGAUGGAAAAUAGAAGCCUGGAAAAUCUGACAGUCUCAUUGAUUUGCUCGCCUUGCCAUCGCUACUUGAGAGGAGAAGCAAUGUGAUUUCAAAAUUGCAAUUAGGAGCCAGCCCGUUAAGGGUUCGUCUCAUGAGCUCCCGUGCUGUGCGGCUCCCAGGCCCACCUUGUCUCAUUUCCUGAGGAGUCCCAGGUUUCUCAACUGGGAGGAGCACUGUGGCUAUUGUUUCUAGUGAAGGCACCACAGCUCAACCUCAGAAGGGGCCUGUGAUGCUCUUAGUCUGGCCCUUGUUUUUACCACUCUGCCGAAACCAGUCUCUUCAAGGCCAUCCUCAUCUUCUAUGUUGCCCAGUCUGUGACCAGGACAAGUGGACCAGACAUACAAGUUUCCUGACACAGUGGCAUCUCAAGGGGUGCCUGAUGCCUACCUGCCUGGCACCACAGCAUGGAUUUCUGCACAGAUGCUACCUCUGCGGGCAGAGGCCAGGCUGACGUUUAUGUGGAUGUCAAGACCAGUCUUCAGUCUGUUUUCCGAUGCAACCACAGCUGCUGCAGGGCCCACCUCGUCUGAGCAGCUCGGCAGUUUGGUGUGGCUGUCUAGGUUUUGUCAGAUGGAACGUGAGCAGAAGCGAUGUGUUCUACCUCCAGGCCUAACCCAUAAAAAGCCCCUGGGAACACUCCUCCAUGCCUUUGCCGCUUCCAUAAGCUGGACACAGAUGACGAGGGGGAGCCAGGGAAAGUGGAGCCACAAACUAGAAGGAGCACGAGUCCCAGAGUGACACUUCAAAGACUGCCACGUGAGCAGGAAAUAAACAUCAAAUCAACUGUGUUGAAACUUUGCAUGUUGGACCUAUUUGUUACACAGCUUGGCUGACCCUAAUAUAAUUCCUGUUCUCAGGGAGUUUGCAGUCACAUUAAAAAGACUCAGGUGCACAAUUCUGGUACAACAGUAAGUGGCUUAGAAGAGGAAGUGGGUCAUAGAGUUUGGGCUUUCAGUUCUGAAGUCCUGGGCUACAGGUUCCUGGGCCUGUGACCUUCCCAUCUAAGCCCUUUUCUGGAAAAGUGGAGAAGAGUCAGAUUGAGGGAAGGCACUUCUGGCAGGGGAACAUCACAGUCAAGGGCUCACAAGCAGGACUUAGAACAAACAAAAAGAUGAGAUGAAUGUCAAUGAUCCUCAGAAGGGGAAAAUAAGAAAAUGGUCCUUAAAUACCUAAUAACUUUGGCUGUCACAGGUAGGACAAGGAUCAGAGUUCUAGAACUUCUCUCUCUGACCUAACACACCUCUUUAGUUCCCGAGAGUGGGGAGCCCUGAGCCUGGCGUGUGGGGUGUCGGUCUGCCUUUCUCUUCCAGCGCCCCUUCUCCAGGCUGGUCCCUCCAACUGUUGUCUGGGUUUUAGGGGAUAAGUUCUUCCAGAAUCAGAUGCUUGAUGAGAAAAGCAGCCUUGCUCUGCUCCCUCCAGAGACCUGUGAAGAAGGGGAUUUCAUCCUGUUUCUGAGCUGAGCAUCCUGAUGGAGGCUUCUAAGUAUCAGCUGAAAUUCAGAUAUGGUCUUUGUGGUCCCAGUUCCCAGCUGGGCACUGGCAAGUGAGGCUGGCCUUGUACUGUCUGUUUCCAACAAGCUUGGGAACAGAGCAGGCUGCUCAUUUCCAGUUUAUAACUGAGGACCCAGAGUCCCAGGGUAGGGCCCUUGUCACACUCCAGCCCACACUGAUGGCAGAACCGCAGAGGUGUUCAAAGCAGUUUCCCUCUUGCUGGGGAAGAUAGACACGGAUACUACUGUCUCUUGUUGUGGACUCUGCACUGCCCACACACCCUGACUGCACCCUAAUCGAUGGUGCUGCUCUGGGCACCCCAUGACGAGCAUCAUGGAGCGGGCACUUAAAAGCUUGGGUCCUGGGGCUUCCCUGGUGGUGCAGUGGUUGAGAGUCCGCCUGCCGAUGCAGGGGACACGGGUUCGUGCCCCUGUCCGGGAGGAUCCCACAUGCCACGGAGCGGCUGGGCCCGUGAGUCAUGGCUGCUGAGCCUGCGCAUCCGGAGCCUGUGCUCCGCAACAGGAGAGGCCACAACAGUGAGAGGCCCGCGUACCGCCAAAAAAAAAAAAGAAAGCUUGGAUCCUACCCCAGCUCCCUGUUUUGACUAGUGGUGUGACCUUGGCCUUCUUACUCCCCUCUCCUCUCACCCCCGCCCUCAUUCCUUCACAAUGAUUAUCUCACAAAUUUUUGUUAAAUUAGCAUUCAUUGUUUAUUAUAUAAAUAUUGUUCACUGUUGAGUCAGGUAGUAUACUAGGAUAGCUUGAUUGUUUCUAUCCUUUUUUUUUCUGAAGCCAAUUUGCCUGACUUUCUUUGUACAUGUGAUUAAGUUUUCCCACCCUUACAACCUCUCAGCAGGACUUUCCACAAGGUCGAACGUUUCAGAUGUUCCAUUGCUGCUGGAGGCCCCUCUGAGUCCUCUGACAUCGCAGUCUGGUUCCAUACCUGGGUGACUACACAGCUGCCGUCUGGAGUUCUUCCUCACCGCCAACCUGGGAAUUUCCGUCACCUCUUUCAGCCAUUGGAUUCCCUGCUUCCUGGAGCUUCUGUCUUUUCUUUCUUGGUUUAAUCCCUCCUUUCGAUGGUGCACAACCCCCAGUAGCUUUCUGAUAAUGUAGUUAUGAGGUCUGGGUUAAGCUGGUAGGGCAAAGAAGUUUCUGCAUCUUUUCCCUCUAAAUCAUUAUCCCACCCCCCACCAAAGAAAAAAAAAAGGCAAAUAAAUGAGAGAACAAGAAUGCCAAGUAGAAACACAAACCAUUGUUUUUUUACAAAAUGAGCUGACAGCCAUAACCUGAUAGUGCAAAGGAUAGAACAAAAAUGAGAGAGGCUCGGGACCUUGUUCUACUAUGUUUGCAGCGGCGCAGGAGCCAGUCUGCCAAGUGGAACCUCAAGUAGCUCAGGACACACCACACAAGGCUUAGGAGACACCACGCAUGGCACAGGGACACACUCCAUGGGAGGAGUGUGUCCCCAGGCCCCGACUCAUAAGCCUGAGAUUUCCUCCCCAAUUCUUUUUGGAAGAUGGGAGGAUGACACUGUUAAAGGCUAGAGUGAAUAUCAAACCCAAAGCAGGGGGAUUUGGGGAAAGUCUGCUGCUAAGCAUAGGCCCCCAGCUUCCUCUCCAGUCUGGUUCAUGGAGCAGAGGCAGGUCAGGAGGCCACCUUUUCCUCAUGGAACACAAGUUCUAGGAAUUUUAACACGUGUAGAUUCCUGUAAUGACUACUAUAGUCAGGAUACAGGAGAGUUCCAUCACCCACCCCCACAAAAUAAACCCACUCCCUCAUGUUUUCCCUUUAUAGACAUAGCCUCCCUCCACCCCAGACCCCUGGUAGCCACUGGUCUGUUCUCCACAAUGUGUCUCUUCAAGAAUGUCAUAGGGCUUCCCUGGUGGCACAGUGGUUGAGAGUCCGCCAGCCGAUGCAGGGGACAUGGGUUCGUGCCCCAGUCCGGGAAGAUCCCACAUGCCUCAGAGUGGCUAGGCCUGUGAGCCAUGGCCGCUGAGCCUGCGCGUCCGGAGCCUGUGCUCCACAAUGGGAGAGGCCACAGCAGUGAGAGGCCCGCAUACCGCCAAAAAAAAAAAAAAAAAAAAAAAAAGAAUG